GGCCGCGCCCGCUCGCCAUCACGCAGCCUCCUGGGAGGGCGACUCGGCCGCGCGGGCCUCGGGCGCCUUGCAAGAGGCCGGUGGGCUAGGGGCUGGCGGGUGCGGGUGUACACACGCACACACUCCCCGCGCGGGGCGCUCGGCGUCUGUCUCCUCCCGCUUGCCGUAGGAGGCGGCGCGGCGCCGACAGUGGGCAACCACUACCGCUUCGGCGGACUGGGGCCGCGGAGCAGGGGCCGAGGUCUCCGGGGGCAGGUGAGUUUCCCGCCCCGAGGCCCUUGGACUAUCCGCACUGCCCGGAGACCCCGCCUGCGGCCUGUCCGCGGUUCACCUCGGCGGCCUUCCCUGUCCUCGUGGGUGGCAGGCGGCCCCGCGUCGUGCGCCCCAGUGUGUGGUGCCGAAGCGCUGGCAGGUUUCCUAGUCUGAGGCACGCACCGUUACUGUGAGGCUGUAGACUCUUCACUCAGGAAAAGCCUACCCCCUGUGACUCACGGUCCUCCUCACCUGACUGCCGAUCCCGCUCGUCCUGUAAGCUCCCCAGCGAUGUGAGACGGUGAAAGGAAAGCAAAGUGGACUUCAUGCUAUCUAUCUGGUUUCUCCUCGCCCACCCUCUACUUGUGUGACCUUGGGAAGAUCACAGUACUUCUGGGUCCUGCUUUUCUUAACUGUAAAGUGGGGUGUGGACGAGAUGUCUCAGGUUUAUCUUCAAACCCUGAAAUGUGUGGGUUUGAAGAGUGGAAGAUGUUAAGUUAAGCAUUGUUCUGCCUACACAGGAAUACUGUCCACAUCACAGGCUUAGAAAAUUUUUUGGUUUCUCUUUUUUGUCAUUCCACUGUUCUUGUUUCUUAUUCCCUGCUCUGCCCUACAUACCUUUUUUUUUUUUUAAUCUACAUUUAAGUAGAGUUUUUUGUUGUUUUUUUUUUGCCACCUCACACAGCAUUCUGAAUCUUAGUUCCCUGACCAGGGAUGGAACCCAUUCCCCCUGCACUGGAAACUUGGAGCCUUAACCACCGGACCACCAGGAAAGUCCCAGGGUUUUUGUUUUUGUUUUUGUUUUUAAUUCAAGCUGGCUGAGUACAUUCUUUAAUUGCCUUCUCUUCCUAAAACCCUGUUAAAAUGCUCAUAAAGAAAUGAAAAAUGAUACAAAUCAGUACAGAACAGAAAAUGGGAAGGGAGCCACCAAAAUUUUUUUUUUUUAAUUUUACACCGAGAAAGUGAGUGUGGUCUGAUUAAACAAAAUGGAAGAAACCAUAGUUUGGAAUAGGUGUAGGGAAUGAGUACUGCAGUUGAGGAAGGAGGCCUAGCAGCCAGAAGUGAUUUAAAGAAACUGAAAUUUGGAGACAUCAGCACAACAGACCAAGAGUGAGAAGCAGGGACGAAAACAAGGAAACUAAAUAAAGGUUUCUAUGUAGAACAGCAGUACCCUAGCCCUCCCCACCCCAUACCUCAGAUACAAUAGCUAGGCAUUUAUCCCAGGCUAAAAAUCAAGUUCUUGUAAUCUCUGGGGAGCAUUUAAUGACUAAGAGUAAAGCAUUCUUUAUUCUGGCACAAUAGCCAGCUUCCUACCCAUUCACCCUAGAGUGAAAUUGGCAAGACCCUCCCAAGUUCUAAAGAUUCGUCAUCAGCGUCCAACUAUUUCAUCUUAAAUAUGAACAGAUAACCAAGGGCUGUUAGAUAUUUAAGGGAAGUCUCCAGCUUGGGGCUGACAGAGGAGAAAAUGUGACCACAGAGGAAAAAGACACUUCGGAGAACUUAAAAAAAAUAUAGUAUGCGCCCAACUUAUUACAGCUAUGAAACAAGGAUAAUAUACUCAUAUAAGUUAACACUCCAGGAACAAAAAGUAAGUCUUAAAUUAAAAAUAAGAAGUUGCCAAAAUUGUAAAUUCACUUUUGUUGAAAGAUAAAGUCCAUGAAGUUUUAAGGAAAA